rnacentral:tRNA from 1 species
GGGCCUGUAGCUCAGUUGGGAGAGCGCUGCGUUCGCAACGCAGAGGUCGACGGUUCGAACCCGUUCAGGUCCACCA